UUGAAUUAAAAACACAAAGAAAAUUAUAAAGGAAAAUACCUCGAAUAUUUAGUUUUGUUCUACAAAAUGUUACCCAAAAAAAAAUUGCAAGAAUGGAAAGUUUAAUCAAAAGAAUAAAAUUUUUUCAAACAUGAUGAUCUCUGCACACAUGUGAAUUAAAAGGAAGCAGUAAUUGUGGAUAACAAAAUAUGAACAACAGCGACCUUAAAUCAUGACGAUUAAAUUGAAACAAAAAAUAAAGAAAAUAAAUUCAAAAUCGUUAAAAAUAGAAUAACAAAACUAGCCAGGAUAACUAAACCCCUAAAACCCUAAACCCUAAACCAUAUACGCACGUUGAUAAAAAGAAAAAGAAGAUAAAUUAAAAAAAAAAAAAAAACAGCGGGUGUUCUCCAUAUAUUUUAUUUUUGACUACGACAAAUAAAAAGGAAUAAUUUUGUGUGAUUUCUCCAAAUUUAUCUAUUUUUCAUUGCUCAAAUGAAAAAGCCCCUUAACCAAAGAAUAACUUAUCAACAAAAAAAAAAAAGAAAAAAAAGAAGGCAACACAGCAUAUAUAUGCUCCAUCAAGUGAAUUUUUUUUUAUUUUGUUUUUCUUUCCAUUGUGGUAUGUAACUAGACCGCAAUUAACCUAGACAAAAAAAGCUAACCAGUACUGGGCGUACUGAUCCAUAUAAAAUCGGCCUAUAAGCCCAAAUAACUUAAGCCAGGUCGCAUGGUCUGUGUGGCGCCGUUCCGGGCCCAUUUCAUACUUGUAUAUCAUAGUAUUGGAUAGUAUCCUGAAUAAUAGUGUAAUACACUCCCUCAACAUUGAUCCUUUUAAAAAAGAAGUGCAAGAUGGGGUCUUCCACGAAAAUAAAAAUUAAAUGUCUUAUUUAAAAAAUGUCAAACUUGGUGGGUUACAGAGAAAAAAAAAGUUUGUCCUAUCUACAUCAUUGAUCGAGAGCUUGUUUAUAAGAUGACAGAACGUUAUCAAAUGUCCACACUUAACAAGUACACUCAUUAAUAACUAAUCAAGCUCCCCGAUCGCCGACCAUUCAGCCAAAUCCAUAAAAUCAAACCUAACCCUAAAACCUAAACUCUAAACCCAACAUUCCUGGCCUAAGGAUCUUUUAUUACGGAUACUCAAAGAAUUUUAAGGUCAAAAACUCUUAUGCUUUACAUUCAAUUGUUUUAUUCUAAAGUUAAAAAAAAAAAUUUGAGGCGAAGCGAGGUUAUUUCUACCGUUUUGCUCUCAAAAAAAAAAAGAAAAAAUUGAAAAAAAAUAUAUUAUGUCUUUUUUAAUAAGUAUCACACAUAUUUUUUUUAUAUCAGAUAAUUUCAAAUAGAAUAUGCAUCACAUCAAUUUAAUCAUGAAAUGAAAUUAAAGUUAACCGAAAAGUAUAAAAACAAAAAAGGAAAAAAGAUUGUUUAUAUACUAUUGCAUACGAAGGUAAUAUUUUGUGCCGUUUUCAUUUUGCUUAUAUUACCAACAACACUUUACGUAUACAAAAUCCAAAAAGUAAAUAAAUAAAUAAAAAUAAAAAUUUCUGUUAAACCCACAUGUGGGACCCACAUAUGAGGGGUGAUACACUGUACACUUCGUUGUAAUAUAUGCGGUAAACCGCAGGGUAAUAACGGUGGAUUACACACGGUCCAAAACCCAAACUUUCUUUUUUUGGUAAAAAAACGAAACACACCAAAAACAGACUUUACCAAAUAAGGAAAGAGGUCCGGGCUUUCACCACAUCGCGCCCGGCACUAAAAAACGCAUGGCGGGUCUGUACAAUUGGCCCAAUUAAAACAAAUAAAUGCCUGGAUAUCAACACGAACUCUGCCGGCCCUAUGCAAUAUGUAAUCCGUACGAUGGGCCCCAAUCGAACUAUAAACUUGUCUCAACGUUGCAAGCAAACUAUCAUACAUUCAGAAUCAACGUAAAGCCCUGAUAACAACCGUACUCUGUGCCCACUAAAAUAUCUAAACGUGUCAGUACGAUGGCCCGAUGCAACUUGUAAUGGCUCUCAGUUGCAGCAGAUAUAAUAUAUAUAUAAAUAUAUAUAUAUAUAUAUGAUAAUAUAAUAUAUUAAAUAUAACAUGCAUGCAUUUACGGUAGAUGUUGACAAUCACGUUAAAUUGUAAUUUUUUAAUGUCAUUUAUUGCUCUUAUUUUAUUUGUACCAAACUGAGCACAAUAAAAAAAUUGAGAUGAUGAAUAUUUAGUUGGAGAUGAUUACUCACCCAUUUAAGUUGUCUCUACCUACUCGGGAGCUCGCCAUCGUAAAGAUUAAAGAUAUUCCCAACAACAGAGGAUAUAUUUUGAUUCACCCCCAACCACUUUAAUUAAAGUUUCACUUACGGGAUCGUCGUUUCCCCAAGCUUAUAUCUAAUUCUUUUAAAAUUGAAAUACCUAAUUUUUAAAUAAAUACCUGAAAUUUAAAAUUUUUAAUUUACUAUAUAAAUUUUCAGCACUUUCUAAUAUCUGCACUCCUAGUUAAUAAAAUGCACAAAGAAAUGUUAUUAAAUUACAUCAAAAAAGUUAUUUAGAUCAAAUUUAAAUACACUAAACCCUAAGCCUCCGUUUGGUUCGGGGUUAAGAAAAAAGUAGCUAUUCCAGGGAUAGGGUUAAGUUCAGGGUUAAAGUGGGGUUAAAGUUUUUUUGUGUUUGGUUGGAGGUUGGAGUUAGUAUAGGAUAGUGAAAAAAAAUGUUUGGUUGGAGUAGGUGGGAUAAGAAGAUAAUGAUUGAUAAAGAAGAAAAAGGUGAGGGGUCGGGACGCGUGCGGGAUUAAAGUUGGUAGGGGGAGUAGGGUUAAUGAUUGAUAAAGAAGAAAAAGGUGAGGGCUCGGGAUGCGUGCGGGGUUAAAGUUGGGAGGGGGAGUGGGGUUAGUAAACCCCACUAACCCGGGUUAGUAAAGAGUGGUGUUUGGGUAUAAAUUGGGGGUUAAGGGGUUAUUCCACCCCUUAACCCCCAACCAAACGGUAGCUAAAACCUUAAAACCCUAAACCCUAAACCCUAAACCCUAAAACCCUAAACCCCUAAACCCUAAACCCUAAAGCCCUAAGCCCUAAACCCUAAACUCUAAAAAUUUAAUUCACCAAAUCACUCAAUUCAAAAAAAUAUAAAAGUCUGAUA
rnacentral:lncRNA from 1 species